ACUCCUACGGGAGGCAGCAGUGGGGAAUAUUGCACAAUGGGGAAACCCUGAUGCAGCCAUGCCGCGUGUGUGAAGAAGGCCUUCGGUUGUAAAGCACUUCAGUAGGGAGGAAGGUAGUGCAGUUAACACCUGCAUUAUUUGACGUUACCUACAGAAGAAGCCCGGCUAACUACGUGCCAGCAGCGCGGUAAUACGUAGGGGGCAAGCGUUAUCCGGAAUCACUGGGCGUAAAGGGUGCGUAGGCGGCUUAGCAAGCCAGGGGUGAAAGGCAUUGGCUCAACCAAUGUAAGCCUUUGGAACUGUUAAGCUUGAGUGCAGGAGAGGUAAGUGGAAUUCCUAGUGUAGAGGUGAAAUUCGUAGAUAUUAGGAGGAACACCAGUGGCGAAGGCGACUUACUGGACUGUAACUGACGCUGAUGCACGAAAGCGU
rnacentral:rRNA from 1 species